UGGCCACCACAAUUUAUUUCAUAACUUUGACCUCAAAUCAGGUAGGACUACCCGCUGAACUUAAGCAUAUCAAUAAGCGGAGGAAAAGAAACCAACAGGGAUUGCCUUAGUAGCGGCGAGUGAAGCGGCAAAAGCUCAAAUUUGAAAUCUGGCUCUUUCAGAGUCCGAGUUGUAAUUUGAAGAAGGUAUCUUUGGGUCUGGCUCUUGUCUAUGUUUCUUGGAACAGAACGUCACAGAGGGUGAGAAUCCCGUGCGAUGAGAUGAUCCAGGCCUAUGUAAAGUUCCUUCGAAGAGUCGAGUUGUUUGGGAAUGCAGCUCUAAGUGGGUGGUAAAUUCCAUCUAAAGCUAAAUAUUGGCGAGAGACCGAUAGCGAACAAGUACAGUGAUGGAAAGAUGAAAAGAACUUUGAAAAGAGAGUGAAAAAGUACGUGAAAUUGUUGAAAGGGAAGGGCUUGAGAUCAGACUUGGUAUUUUGUAUGUUACUUCUUCGGGGGUGGCCUCUACAGUUUAUCGGGCCAGCAUCAGUUUGGGCGGUAGGAGAAUUGCGUUGGAAUGUGGCACGGCUUCGGUUGUGUGUUAUAGCCUUCGUCGAUACUGCCAGCCUAGACUGAGGACUGCGGUUUAUACCUAGGAUGUUGGCAUAAUGAUCUUAAGUCGCCCGUCUUGAAACACGGACCAAGGAGUCUAACGUCUAUGCGA
rnacentral:rRNA from 1 species